UAUUAAUAAUUAUUUAAUGUUUAAUCUUAUUUAUAUGAUAAGAUUUAUUAGAACUAACUUUUGGUUAUAGUAUAUUUUAAGGAAUUAAUUAUUUAUUUUUAUAGUUUAUUUUACUGUUAAGGUUAAUUUAUUAUUUAUUUUAUAAGUAGAAUUAUUUGUUUGUACCUUUUGUAUCAGGGUUUAUCGAUUAAAAAUAAUCAUUAUUAUGUAUCCCGAAAUUAUAAGAGUUAUUGUGAUUUGUUUUUUAUUGUUACAUUAUUAUAUAUAAAAUUACAAUAGGGGUUAUAUGCUAUUCAAUUAUAAAUAUCUGGUUUUUUAAGAAAUGGAUUUAAUUCAGAAAUUGUUAUUGAUUCGCUUUAAAUUAUUUAAUGUUUAAUCUUUGACAAUUUUAAUAUUAUGGGGGAUAAGCUCUUUAAUAUUUUUAUAACUGGCUCAUAUUUAUUGAUUCUUGUAGGGUUAGUAACACUCAUCAUUUAUUUCGUUAUAGUUAAUUUCAUUUUAAAUUUAUUUAUUUCGUUAUAGUUUAAAUUAAUAUUAAAAUUUAUUAAUUAAUUUAUUUAUUAAUAUUAAUAAUGAUAGAAUUAGUAAUUUACUAAAUAAUAUAUAGGAAUUCGGCAAUUGUAAUAUUCACCUGUUUAUCAAAAACAUGUCCUAUUGAUAUAUUAAUAUUAGGUCAGGCCUGCCCACUGUAUUUUAAUAUAAAUGGCCGCAGUAAUUUGACUGUGCGAAGGUAGCAUAAUCAUUUGUUUAUUAAUUGUAAGCUAGAAUGAAUGGUUUAAUGAAAUAUUAUCUUUCUUUAUAUUAUUAUUGAUGAAUUUAAUAUUUAAGUUAAAAAGCUUAAAUAUUUUUAUAGGACGAGAAGACCCUAUAGAAUUUUAUUAUUUUAUAAUUAUUAUUUAUUUUGUUUAAUAUUAAGUUUUGAUUAUCAUAUUAAUUUUGUUGGGGCGACAUGGAAAUUUCAUUAACUUUCUGUAUUUAUUAUUUAUUGAUUUAUAUAUUUAAUGAUCCCUUAUUAUGGAUUUUAAGAUUAAAUUACCUUAGGGAUAACAGCGUAAUUCUUUCGGAGAGUUCUUAUCGAUGAAAGAGUUUGCGACCUCGAUGUUGGAUUAAAUUUAGAAUUGGGUGUAGUAGCUUAAGUUUUCUAGGUCUGUUCGACCUUUAAUUAUUUACAUGAUCUGAGUUCAGACCGGCGUAAGCCAGGUUGGUUUCUAUCCUUAAUCUUAUUUAUAUGUUUUAGUACGAAAGGACCAUUCAUAUUAAAUAAUUUAAUAAAAUUGUGAUUAAUAAUAAUUUUU
rnacentral:rRNA from 1 species